AGUCGGUAGAAAGUCGAUUGGGGCGACAAAGCUUAUCGAUCGAAAUCGGACUGCACCAUAGUAGCCUGGUCAGUGAAGUGUAGCUAGUUGAUUGGGAGAAAUGGAAAUAGGUUAGUCGGGUAAGUGACGUGACUCUGCCCCAACAUAACCAAAAUUGACCAUGCAUGAUCUACUCCAUGAUCUACAACCUUAUUCUCAGGUCAUUGGAGUUUGUCUAUGAAUGAUAUAUGGUUGCGUGCUUAGAGAAUGGAAGCUCCAAAAAAUGGACCACAUACCCAUCGAGGACUUGCUGC
rnacentral:lncRNA from 1 species